UUAGGUGCACCGCCUGAGGACUACGGCCGCAAGGCUAAACUCAAAGGAAUUGACGGGGGCCCGCACAAGCGGUGGAGCAUGUGGCUUAAUUCGAGGCAACGCGAAGAACCUUACCUGGUCUUGACAUGCCCGUCAUAGUUUUCCGAAAGGAAUUCGUCAGUUCGGCUGGACGGUGCACAGGUGCUGCAUGGCUGUCGUCAGCUCGUGUCGUGAGAUGUUCGGUUAAGUCCGGCAACGAGCGCAACCCUCGUUUCCAGUUGCCAGCGGGUAAUGCCGGGGACUCUGGAAAGACAAACCUCUUGUUGAGGUGGGAAGGUGGGGACGACGUCAAGUCAGUAUGGCUCUUACGACCAGGGCUGCACACGUGCUACAAUGCCCGGCACAAUGGGAUGCAAUAUCGCGAGAUUGAGCAAAUCCACAAAACCGGGCCCAGUUCGGAUUGGAGUCUGCAACUCGACUCCAUGAAGUUGGAAUCGCUAGUAAUGGCGUAUCAGCAAUGACGCCGUGAAUACGUUCCCGGGCCUUGUACACACCGCCCGUCACAUCAUGAAAGCCGGUUCUGCCCGAAGUACAUGAGUUAACCGCAAGGAGACAGUGUCCUAAGGUGGGGCUGGUGAUUGGGAUGAAGUCGUAACAAGGUAGCCGUAGGGGAACCUGUGGCUGGAUCACCUCCUU
rnacentral:rRNA from 1 species